rnacentral:lncRNA from 1 species
AGUAAAAAGGGUAGAAGCAAUUCUCUUAAUUGAACUCUUGGAUAUGAAACUAUAAGUAGUUUUGAAGCCACCCUUAAAAUAGUUGAAUAUUAGAUUUAAAUAUGUGGGGACAAAAGACCACUAAUUUCUUUGAAAUUAAAAAGGGGCCGAUAAGAAUAGGCUUUGAAAUUCAAACUAUUUAUUAAUGAGUUCUUUUUCUAAGUUUGGUAGAAAUUAAUACUAAGCUCAUGAAGCAUCUUUUUUGACCAACGAAAAAUCAAAUCAACAAUUCUUCUAAUAAAUUAAUCAAUUUGUACAAAUUUGAUCAAGGUUUUUCUGUUGUUCAAUUUUAGGUGACAAAAUUCAUACGUAAUUAAUUUGUAUGGUGCGAUUAGACCUUAUCCUUUUAAGGUCAAUAAUAUCGACAUCCAAAACCUUUUUAUAAGUAUGCAAAUUUUUAAAAUUUCAACUAAUUAAAUAAAUAUGUUUAUAAUUUGCGUUGAUCAAAUUAGCACGCAUAUUUUUAAAAUUUGUUAUUUUUCUUAUAAAUUUAUUUGGGACGUUUAUGAAAUAUUUAGAUAAACAAGUGCAAGUUAUAUAUAUAAUACAAAUAUUUAUACUCUAGUGUUUCACUUUAAACACAAACUUCUAUUUGUUAAUUGUAACUAAUAAUUCUCAUAUUUCACAUUGUUUUUAAAGUUAUAGUUAUGUUCUCUUAAUUAGGAUAAUUCUCAUAUUUCACAUUGUUUUUAAAAGCUAUGUUCUCUUAAUUAGGUAGACAUUUAGAUGACAAAUGAAUCAAGUUGACAUAUUAAUAUUAUUUUUUAAAAUUUUAUAAUAUUGACCCUUUCAUAUUUCAACGCUAAAAGUUAUCAUUUUUCUUUCUAAAAAAAUCAAUCACAAUUAAUAAAAGGUUGAAGAUCAACACUCAAUUAUUAUACAUAUACACAUAAAAUAGGAUUAAUUUGAAACAAUUUAGAAUCUAUCCUAAGUUGAUUUGAUCGUAUAUUAAACUUUAAAGAAAAAAAAAUUGAUGGUUGAGAUGAAAAGGUUAGUAUUUAUUUAUUAUAGGCAUGAAGAGUCAAGAUCCCCCAAAUGUUGAUUAAAGAAAUAAUUAACAAUUAAGAAAUCAAAGUGAUAUUUUGAUUUAAAAAAGAAAAAUAAAGAAUAAAAAAAGUCAUGGUAUGUUAAUUAAUACACGUGGUCCAACCAAAAACACGUUGGGUGGGGCUUACUAAAACUACGAAAGGGUGUGGCGACCCAUGCAUUCUGGGACACGUGUUUCAAUAUGAUUUGAAGUACACAUGCAGGUACAUCUUGUGUACGUACGUCAGUCUAAUUAUUGAGACAGAUUCAAUUUAUAUAAUUUAAAUUAACAAAAUAAAUAAUUCAUUCAUCAUUUUCUUUUUUUAUAAAUUAAAAUCAACUUUUACCCUUCCUAUUCCCAAAGAAAUAUAAAUGGGUUAAACUCUAUUAACCUUUUUUUUUUUAAUAGUUCAGAUAUUAUUUCCAAUAAAUUAAAAUUUUCUAUCAACUUUAGGCUGCACUUUUAUAUUUCUACUGUUUAUGUCAGCAUAUUCUUAUAAUCUUUGUAUUCAUUUCAUAUUCUUAUAUACAUGGGUCGUUUAUGUAUGUUAUUAUUAUUAAUAAUGAAAGAUUAGUUUGACUAAACUAAAAUUUAAGGAGGUUAGUAAUAGAAAAUUGUUAGGGUUGGAAAAGUAUAUAUUAGACAUAAUAAUGCUCGAGGUUUGAAUGAAAUGUAUAUACUCAUAAAAAUAUAUUGAUUAGAUUAGAAAAAGAAAUGUGAGUGAGAUGAGAUAAUGGAUUACAGCAGGGAGAGUGUGUGACAAUGAACGAAGAUUUUGGAGUCACGUGAAAUAAAGUAUUAAUUAAUUACUUUCAAUCAAUUAAUUAAUACUAAUAAUUGAGAUAUAAAGUAAAACAGGCAGAGCCAGUUGGUAUUGUAUUCCUUCCAUUUUCAUUCUCUCCUUCAUUUCUAUAUAUACAAAAUCAAUUUGUUUUAUUCAAAGUAUUAGUUUUGUAUCGAUGUGUCAACACUUUCUUUUAUAUAUGAGUUCAACAUUGACAUAAAAAUGAAAUCGGUAUUUUUAUUAUGUUGUAAAGAAUUCAUGAAACAUGGAAUAAUAAAUUGUUAAUCAAACACAUAAUACACUUACAAUUUAUUUAAGAAGCAUGUUAGACUUCUUUCUAACUACAUUUUUCUUUUGUAAAAUUGAAUAUUACGGGUUUUCUAAUAUAACAAAAAAAAAAAAAAUCAAUUUGUCAUUUUAAAUUUUACUGUAUUUAUAAAUAUAUAGGUGAUAUUGUUGAAAGAAUUUUAUUUUCAUUUAGAUUUGGAAAAGUCAAGUUGAUAUAGAAAACUCUUCAUCAAUUGUACUCUUUGUCAAGAAAGAAAAAAGGAACAAAUAUUAUGAGCUGUCGAAGGAAAGAUAUUUACCAAAUUGAAGAUGAGAUAAUUUUUCACGUCUUUAUUGGUUUUUUUCUGAGAUUUGAAAAUGUAAUAUUUGUUUGAGUGUUAAUUGACUUUACAGUAUUGGUUUCCUUAAUUAGAAAUGUGUAUGUGACAUUUCUUCCAAUUGAAUUCUUACAUAUACAUCACUUAUAAACAAUAGCUACCAUUUUAGAUUAGAUUAUUAGUUUCAUUUAAGUUUAAUUGUUAUCUUUUUCUUUUAUCAUCAUUAUUGUUAUUAUUAUUUCAUUUUGUUUUCAACAUUCUCUUGAACAAACAUUAGAAUAAUUGAACAAACAUUAGAAUAAUUACAAUGGAUAGUAAUAUUAUUAGAGAUAAUAAUAUAUAAGAGUAUAUAGCAACAUUUUUUAAAAAAUUGUAUAGAUAUAUAUGCUAUAUUUUAAAAGAUUACUAUCUAUGCUAGUAUUGUAUCCAAUGCUAAAUAACUUUUUAAAUAAAUAUUUACAAAACUUCAAAAAUUAAUUUAAUUCAUUUAACAAGUGAAUGGUCUUUUUUUUCAUGAAUACACAUUUUAAAUAUCAUUUUUGAUUUUGUAGUUUGAGCUUUCGUUAAUUUUAGUUCAUGUAUUCUCAAUAAAGAUAUUUAAAUUUAGUAUAUCAAAAUUGAUUAAUUAACAACAACAACAACGUUCAUAUAAACACAUAAGAGACAAUAUUGUUACCAAUUUUACAGCAAAAAUACCAAUGAGCAACAACUUUUUUCUUAAAAAGGAAUUCAGCAAGAAACUAUAAAGUAAAUUUAAGAUUGAUUAAGAGUACACCUACUAAAAAAUUAAAUCCUUCAAGUACAUCUUAAAAGUGAUAGAGUAAGUUAAUUAAAAACAAAUUUUUGACAAAUCAUAAAAUUUCCUAGGAAAACUCUAAAAGCUAAAAAGGUUGUGGACUUUGAAAUUGAAGAAGAAAAUAAAGUAAAAAAAAGAAAAAAGUAUAUAAUUAAACCCAUGAGCCACGUUUCAUUUCUAUAAUUUAGUUGAAUAUUAGCAAAUUAAAAAUGGCAUAAAACUUAUGGGGUUGUAUGUGUAAUUAAUGAUUUUAAAAAUGGUUUAAUUUACUUGAAAAAAACAUCUCGAGUGAGUGAAUAAGUCAACUUUGACAAUAAGCAAUCCAAAGAUGACCAAAUUCUAAUUAAUUAGUUAAACUAUAUAUUGAACUUCCCAAGGUGUUUGCUUCUGUGAAUAAAUUAUGCUUAUAUAUUAGCCAAUUAAAACCAUAGCAAAUAGCUUUUUUUGUAUUGUAUUGUCCAAAUAUAUAUAUAUAUAUGUAUGGAAAAAUUAAUGUACUAAAGUUUUGGAUCGGGUGCAAUGCUACAUGUCCUACUCACUUUUUUAAAAAAUUAUUGAAUUGAUUAAAAAAAAAAUUAUAUAGUUGACUUUUUAUAAACUCAAGAAGUAUUUGAAGGGUUAGUGAUCUUAUGUAAACUAGGGUUAUAUUCAACUUAGCUAACUAAGGUGUCAAUCUUCGAUUACGAUAUUGAUGAUUUGAAUAUCUCAUUUUGACAUAUUAUUAAAUUUGUGGGGAAAAAAAAUAUACUUAUAUAUUUAGUACAUAAAAUAUAUGUUUAUCUCAUGCUACACAAAAAAAAUUAAAAUUAUGUAAUACUAAUGGUUAAAUUUUUUAAAUGUGAUUACUAAAUUUAAUUUGGUUAAAGAAUUAUAUAUAUAUAUAGUUGUUUUUGAGUUUAUUGUUGUUGUGAAUCUUCAUCCUCAAGUUAUUGUUAAAUUUCUUAUUUCUAUUUUUUUAAUCUUAAAUAUUAACUUAUAAAUUAGAAAAUUUAAGACUCGUUUAAUAAAUACUUCCGAUUUGAUUCUUAGUAAUUCCGUUGUUAAACAUUAAAAUAGUUUAAGUUGUAUUGUCAAUUACUUUGCAUAUUAUCCUUUCAAUUUAGGUGUCAUGAGUUCAAUUUUAUUAUUAAAGUUAUAUAUAUGUUUGUAUUUUUAAAAAGGUAUAUUAUUGGGUGAAAUUUAUUGUAAAAUUGACAAGAAAAUUAUAAAAAUAGAGUUGACUUGAAUUUAAAAAUGGAUUUAUAUUAUAUGUAUAAUGUGAAAUUUUGAGGAGAGGUAUCAAUCCGAUGUAGCAAAAAGCUGAGAAUUAACUUAAUGCAUGAAUGAUAGUGAAUAUAAUCAUCAUUUGACAUUUUCUUUUCUCUUUUUAAUAAAUCAUUUGACAUUUUUUUUGUCUUCACCAAAAACUUUGACGAACUUUAUUAAUUAUAAAAUUAAUGAAAAUCAAAAUUCAACUCAUUAACUUGCAAGCUUUAUUUGAUUAAAUUACACGCCAUUAAUCUAUUAUAUAUUUAAAUAUGUUUGUAUGUAUAUGUGUAUAUCCAAUCCAAUUCCUGGAUAGAUCCAAACAAACUUAAUUCAAAUUUGUGAGGAUUGAGUUGAAUUACAAAACAAUUACAAAAGUCACUAUAUUUAUUUUAGUUCUUGAUUUUUCAAGUUUUUAUAUGUAUAGAAAUUAUCAAAAUCAAUAUUUUCAAAGUACACUGUGUAAAUAAAAUAAAGUAUAUAAUCGUAUUUUGCUUUCGUUUAGGUCAACAAUUAAUUUUGUUAUCAAAUGUUAUAGUGUUUAUCAAAUGAGAUUAUACUUAAAUUGAAAUAUUAAUCAAAUUAUCUAUUGAUUAACGACACGUUACUUUCUAGUUUAUUUGGUGUCAAUACAUUUUUAAUUACUUAAUGUUUACAAUACGAGUUAAAAUUAAUUUUAGACUGAAAUUGGAAAAUAAUUUAUUCUCGAAUAAGCUUGAGUUAUAUCAAUCCAACUAUAUAUGUUUUUAGUGAAGGUGAGUUUAGCUUGAUUUAAUCCACUGUUCUCGUAAUUUCUUUUUAUAGAAAAUAUGCCAUAUACUUCUAACUUUCAUUUAACUUUGUUUAAUCCGUAAUUACCCCUAUAGGCCCAAGCCCAACGCUCUUAUCCAAAAGACCAAAGGCCCAAUACUUUUCAACUCACACCCUUAAGUUUCAACCCACUUUUCAUAUCCAAAAAAAAAAAAAGAAAAAAGAAAGAGAAAAAAAUCACUCACUUUAGACCUAUUUUACACAAAGUAUCUAAAAACUUUUCGAAAAUUUUAAAAAAUAGUAGAUUUUACAAAAUAUUUACAACAUAUAGCAAAUCCUAUCGGUGAUAGUCAUAUAUGCUAUAGUGAUAUAGUGAUAGAACACUAUCGGAAUAAAAUCUAAAAUUUUAGCUUGUAAAUAUUUUAAUUUAUUAUUUUAUUUUUAAAAAUAUCCCAAAACUUUGUUUAUUUAUUAGUUAAGAUUUGGUCGAACCAUUUUAUGUUUGUAACAAUUAUAAAUACAAUUUAUUUUUUGAAAAUUCAUAUAAUAGAAUACCAUAGUUAUAUUAUAUCACAUUUAGCAUCUUUCAUAAUUAAUAUAAUAAAUAAUUCAGAUUUAUAUUUGAUUUAAUAUUAGGAUAUGAUACUUCAUUUUAAUAUGACAUCAAGUUGGAUCUAAUAUGGUAAUAAUAUAUUAAUUAAUUUCUACAUUCUUUCACCUUACCGACGUCUAUUAAAACAUUUAUAAAAAAAUUGGCAACACUAGAUUCAACUUGUAAUGAGACCGCUAUUUAGUCCGACGUCUAUUAGGACAUUUAUGAAAAUUUGGGAAUGCUAGGUGAGACACCCCUAGUUAGGUUAUAGUAGUUAAAAUCCAAAAAAUAAUUAUAUAAAAAAAUUAAAAUAAAGAUCUUCAAAGUAUAGCAAACUCUAUCGUCGUUAAACCAAUAUUUGUAUUAAUAGUCUAUCAAUGAUAGACUCAUAUUGUAGAGUACUAGAGUGAGCAUGGUCAAGUUUUUGAAAAAUGCAUACAAAAUAAAGACCAAUUUAUAUAAUCAUUCUACAUGGAUAAAAAAAUGUUAAUUUAAAGAAAUUGAUAAAUUGUUAUAAGUUACCCUCUGAUAGGCACCGUGUGGAAAUUCAAAAGGGAAAAUUGUUAGGGAAGCAGUAAUGGCAUAUUGGGUCGAAGCUUUGGAGCGUUAAACUCAAAACAAAAAAAAACACAAAAUUGAUAUUAGCAUUGCUUCCUAUAAUUUAAGCAAUGAAAAAACAAAUAAUACAUCUUCAUCAUUUUAAAUUAUAGGUUAAACCAAAAGAAUUUACAAUAGGAAGAAAAAUAAGGUGAAAACUGGAAAGAUGGAUCCAGAUUAUUGACGUCCAAAGAGUAAAAGAGUACACAAACCAUUAGAAAGGUGGUCGAGACAAUAAGAGUAGAUACGAAAUCCAGAGUCUUAAAAGACAUUAUAGAAAUUAGAGAAGAAGAUGGUAACGCCGCUCGCUAUCUGCACCGACACCAUUCUUGAAAUCGACCGACGAAGAAGAAGGCUCGGUGAAAAGAGAUGGCUGGAAAAUUACUUCCACUUCUUGAAUUUUCCUCCGCCAAACAUCCCGUGUUUCCCAUGUUUGUGUUUCCCAAACUUUCCGUGCUUGAACUUCCCAUGGUGCUUGAAUUUUCCACCGUGACCGUGACCAUGACCAUAAUGAGCAACACCAUGGGGGUA